rnacentral:rRNA from 1 species
CCUUCCGUAGGUGAACCUGCGGAAGGAUCAUUACAGUAGUCAUCCGGGUUGCCGCAAGGCCUCCCGGGUAACCUACCACCCUUUGUUUAUUACACUUUGUUGCUUUGGCAGGCCUGCCCUCGGGCUGCUGGCUCCGGCCGGCGAGCGUCUGCCAGAGGACCUAAACUCUGUUUGUCUAUAAUGUCUGAGUACUAUAUAAUAGUUAAAACUUUCAACAACGGAUCUCUUGGUUCUGGCAUCGAUGAAGAACGCAGCGAAAUGCGAUAAGUAAUGUGAAUUGCAGAAUUCAGUGAAUCAUCGAAUCUUUGAACGCACAUUGCGCCCCCUGGUAUUCCGGGGGGCAUGCCUGUCCGAGCGUCAUUACAACCCUCAAGCUCAGCUUGGUGUUGGGCCCCGCCGCCCCGGCGGGCCCUAAAGUCAGUGGCGGUGCCGUCCGGCUCCGAGCGUAGUAAUUCUUCUCGCUCUGGAGGUCCGGUCGUGUGCUUGCCAGCAACCCCCAAUUUUUUUCAGGUUGACCUCGGAUCAGGUAGGGAUACCCGCUGAACUUAAGCAUAUCAUA